rnacentral:tRNA from 8 species
UCCUCGAUAGCUCAAUUGGUAGAGCACCCGGCUGUUAACCGGGUGGUUGCAGGUUCGAGUCCUGCUCGAGGAGCCA